rnacentral:rRNA from 1 species
CUACGGAGGGUCCGAGCGUUAAUCGGAAUUACUGGGCGUAAAGCGCGCGUAGGCGGCUAUAUAAGUCAGAUGUGAAAUCCCUGGGCUCAACCUAGGAACUGCAUUUGAAACUGUAUGGCUAGAGUAUGGUAGAGGUGAGUGGAAUUUCAGGUGUAGCGGUGAAAUGCGUAGAGAUCUGAAGGAACAUCAGUGGCGAAGGCGACUCACUGGGCCAUUACUGACGCUGAGGUGCGAAAGCGUGGGUAGCAAACAGGAUUAGAAACCCUAGUAGUCC